AGAGUUUGAUCAUGGCUCAGAUUGAACGCUGGCGGCAGGCCUAACACAUGCAAGUCGAGCGGUAGCACAGAGAGCUUGCUCUCGGGUGACGAGCGGCGGACGGGUGAGUAAUGUCUGGGAAACUGCCUGAUGGAGGGGGAUAACUACUGGAAACGGUAGCUAAUACCGCAUAAUGUCGCAAGACCAAAGUGGGGGACCUUCGGGCCUCAUGCCAUCAGAUGUGCCCAGAUGGGAUUAGCUAGUAGGUGGGGUAAUGGCUCACCUAGGCGACGAUCCCUAGCUGGUCUGAGAGGAUGACCAGCCACACUGGAACUGAGAUACGGUCCAGACUCCUACGGGAGGCAGCAGUGGGGAAUAUUGCACAAUGGGCGCAAGCCUGAUGCAGCCAUGCCGCGUGUGUGAAGAAGGCCUUCGGGUUGUAAAGCACUUUCAGCGGGGAGGAAGGCGGUGAGGUUAAUAACCUCAUCGAUUGACGUUACCCGCAGAAGAAGCACCGGCUAACUCCGUGCCAGCAGCCGCGGUAAUACGGAGGGUGCAAGCGUUAAUCGGAAUUACUGGGCGUAAAGCGCACGCAGGCGGUCUGUCAAGUCGGAUGUGAAAUCCCCGGGCUCAACCUGGGAACUGCAUUCGAAACUGGCAGGCUAGAGUCUUGUAGAGGGGGGUAGAAUUCCAGGUGUAGCGGUGAAAUGCGUAGAGAUCUGGAGGAAUACCGGUGGCGAAGGCGGCCCCCUGGACAAAGACUGACGCUCAGGUGCGAAAGCGUGGGGAGCAAACAGGAUUAGAUACCCUGGUAGUCCACGCCGUAAACGAUGUCGAUUUGGAGGUUGUGCCCUUGAGGCGUGGCUUCCGGAGCUAACGCGUUAAAUCGACCGCCUGGGGAGUACGGCCGCAAGGUUAAAACUCAAAUGAAUUGACGGGGGCCCGCACAAGCGGUGGAGCAUGUGGUUUAAUUCGAUGCAACGCGAAGAACCUUACCUGGUCUUGACAUCCACAGAACUUAGCAGAGAUGCUUUGGUGCCUUCGGGAACUGUGAGACAGGUGCUGCAUGGCUGUCGUCAGCUCGUGUUGUGAAAUGUUGGGUUAAGUCCCGCAACGAGCGCAACCCUUAUCCUUUGUUGCCAGCGGUCCGGCCGGGAACUCAAAGGAGACUGCCAGUGAUAAACUGGAGGAAGGUGGGGAUGACGUCAAGUCAUCAUGGCCCUUACGACCAGGGCUACACACGUGCUACAAUGGCAUAUACAAAGAGAAGCGACCUCGCGAGAGCAAGCGGACCUCAUAAAGUAUGUCGUAGUCCGGAUUGGAGUCUGCAACUCGACUCCAUGAAGUCGGAAUCGCUAGUAAUCGUAGAUCAGAAUGCUACGGUGAAUACGUUCCCGGGCCUUGUACACACCGCCCGUCACACCAUGGGAGUGGGUUGCAAAAGAAGUAGGUAGCUUAACCUUCGGGAGGGCGCUUACCACUUUGUGAUUCAUGACUGGGGUGAAGUCGUAACAAGGUAACCGUAGGGGAACCUGCGGUUGGAUCACCU
rnacentral:rRNA from 1 species